UUGGAGGGCAAGUCUGGUGCCAGCAGCCGCGGUAAUUCCAGCUCCAAUAGCGUAUAUUAAAGUUGUUGCAGUUAAAAAGCUCGUAGUUGAAUUUCGGGGUCAGCAAGUUGGUCGUGCCACUGGUAUGCACUGGUUUUACUGAUUCCUCCUUCUUGUAGAACCGUAAUGCCAUUAAGUUGGUGUUGCGGGGAAACAGGACUGUUACUUUGAAAAAAUUAGAGUGUUUAAAGCAGGCUAACGCUUGAAUACAUUAGCAUGGAAUAAUGAAAUAGGACGACGAUCCUAUUUUGUUGGUUUCUAGGAUUGACGUAAUGAUUAAUAGGGAUAGUUGGGGGCAUUAGUAUUCAAUUGUCAGAGGUGAAAUUCUUGGAUUUAUUGAAGACUAACUACUGCGAAAGCAUUUGCCAAGGAUGUUUUCAUUAAUCAAGAACGAAAGUUAGGGGAUCGAAGACGAUCAGAUACCGUCGUAGUCUUAACCAUAAACUAUGCCGACUAGGGAUCGGAUGAUGUUAAUUUUAUAAUGACUCAUUCGGCGCCUUACGGGAAAC
rnacentral:rRNA from 1 species